GCCAGAGGUCAGAGGCGAGGCUCCCCAAAGCUUCUCUUUCCCUGUUCCCGGUCUCCUCGCACACCCCAACACUCCCACCCUCACCCCCCUGCUCCGCAGGCCCUGGAGAAGGGUCGUGGCUGCAGCACGCCCUGGGAAUCACUUUCAGUUCCCAGCUACACAGCCUUUGCUCGCCGCUCCGGCUCCAUCCCACCCUCCCUGCCAGACCCCUCGCUCACCCCACGGAUGUCCCAGUAACCCAGGAUCAGAGUCAUGGUGUUGGUUUCUGAGCCUUGACCCGACAAGCUUCGCCACAGCUGGGCUGGAAAUUUAUCCUCUGACCUGGUAGUGAAGGCGGGGCGGGAAGUGCACCGCCCUCUCCUCGGCCCCGCCCCCCAACCCAGCCCCAACGGGGCAGUGCCUUUGCCAACUGCAGCGCCAGGCCAGGUGGAGGGAGAUCUGCUUCCUUCUCCCAGCCAAGGGUUCUCUGGAGCCCAGCCUCGAGUCUUCCAGAAAACACUAUCCCAGAGAUGGGAAGAAUCAUCCAAUUCACGGGGCAGAAAAAGGAAGUGUGGUCUCAGUGCCUUUGUUCCGGGAUUGAGGAGGACCCCCGCUCUUCUGCCACGUGCCUAAGAGAGAGAAUGAUCAAGUAUAAAUUCACCGCAGAGUUCCUGCUGUGUCCCAGUGGGUAAAGAAUCAGGCACUUUUCUCUGCCGUGGGGUCUGAGGUGCCCUCCCUGACCCCUGGUGCAGUGGGUUAAGGAUCCCGGUUGCCACGGCUCUGGGGUAGGUCACAGCAGCAGCUGGGACUUCGAUCCCCGACCCAGGAACUUCCAUAUGCCCCAGGUGUGGCCAGAAAAAUAAAGGUAAGUGAAUCAAGGGAUUCAUGUCCCAGGUCGUGAAUCUAAAUGCAGAACCAGGCCCAGCAAAGCACAUACCCAGGUGCGGCCUCAGACCUAUCCUGACAGCCAGGUAAAUGUCCCUCACAUUGAUACAGUGACAGGAAGGGUGGGGGACACGGAGGGAAUGUGACCGAGGCGGGAAGAGCUGACCUCUGAGCAGCCAGGUGCCUCUCCUGCCAAGGAGGCCAGAGUGGGGUGGCAGCCAGGAACCCGGAGGACUGUCCACAGGACCACAGUCAGAGCGGGCCCAGCACAGCCUCAGCUGCCCAGGUCCAUGGAUUCCAGCCCUGAUCCUGGACCCUCCCACCGUGUGGUUUUAUGCAGGAGAGGGUGCCCUUUGAAGUCACUCUGUGACCUGUGACUUCCACUCCAACCUCCAAAAAAGCAAUAUCCUACCUGUCAAUGUUUCUCUUUGAAGGGGGA
rnacentral:lncRNA from 1 species